rnacentral:rRNA from 1 species
UACGUAGGGUGCAAGCGUUAAUCGGAAUUACUGGGCGUAAAGCGUGCGCAGGCGGUUUUGUAAAUCUGUCGUGAAAGCCCCCGGGCUCAACCUGGGAAUUGCGAUGGAGACUGCAAGGCUUGAAUCUGGCAGAGGGGGGGUAGAAUUCCACGUGUAGCAGUGAAAUGCGUAGAGAUGUGGAGGAACACCGAUGGCGAAGGCAGCCCCCCUGGGUCAAGAUUGACGCUCAUGCACGAAAGCGUGGGGGAGCAAACAGG